UAUUAACCAUACUUGUUUUAAAUCCUGGUCUGAUAAUUCCAAGAUCCCUGGCAUAUUUGCUUCUGAUGCUUGUUCUGUCUUUUCAAGUUGUGUUUUUUGCCUUUUAGUAUGCUUGGUAAUUUUUUUUUUUUUUUGAUAGCUGGCCAUAACAUACCAGAUACAUGGAAUUGUUGUAACUAGACCUUUAGUAAUGUGAUGGUAAGGUGUAAGGGGAGGAAAAGUGUUCUACAGUCUUGAGAUUAGGUCUUUCAGUGACCCCAGGCCUCUGGGUUAUGAAUUUCACAAGUGUUUCUCAAUAUUUUUCUUCUUUCUUAGAUAGGACAGGAUGGCUACCAUCGGAUAGAGUUGAAUAUUUCCCUUCUCCCAUGUGGAAGGCUAGAGCUGGCUGGAGUUGGGUAUUUCUCUUCUCUCAGGUCAUUUCGGCUUUGAUUGUAUCCCAGCGGGUUUCGUUCUGGUUAACUAGUUUCUCCUGAGGACAGGCCUUGUUAAAAGAACAGAGUGCUCUAGUGUAUUUCAAUUUUUUUUUUUCUCCUCUCCCUGCAGGAAGCUGGAUGGGAUUUUCUCAAGUACUUACCCUAAGAAGAAUCUGGUCAAGCUCCUGGAGGCAAAACUCAGAAAAAUACGACAGCCUCCCACGACUAGGUCCUUCUGGAAUUUUUAACUCUCAGACUUGCUCACACAGAGCCUCUAGCAAUUUGUUAAUUACAGUUCAGAUUUUUUUUUCAACUCAGGCUAUGGUUCCUGCAGUGAUUUCCACUUGUAAGUUUCCUGUCAGUCCUUCUUCUAGCUCAUUGUAGAUGCUAUGAUGAAUUCAGAGGAUGGUGAACAAGAUUCUAUAUGCAUCCUUUUCACUCUUCUGAUGACACAUCACUUGAAUAGCUUCAUGGGAAGCUCUCUUAGGAAACAAGGCCUUGAAAUUUCCCUCACAUACUAGCCCCAGUGGACCCUGUCUCUAUUCCAUAGAAAUGUUGCCCAGAAAUGAGCUCAUAGACCUUCUCAUCAUGGCCAGAGGCAAGCAGUACUGUCUGGGACACCAGGAGCAGAGGUCAGAGGCAAGCUCAACUUUCCUGAAAUAAUGUGCUGAUAUUUCCACUGCGAAAGAUCGGUCAUAGAUGGUGCCUAAAACUGACUCAGCUCUGGCCAGGGCAUAAGAGAGAAUGGGUUCUUGAAACUCCUUAAUCUCAUCGUCCAGAAUGGCCAAGGAAGUCAGUCAUUGUGGACUUCCCCUCUUGUGUCUCGGCCUCCUGUUCCUCACUGACUCUCUGGGUUCUACCCAGACUUCUGGGCCUCAUGCUCCACCAAUACUUAAAAUAAAAUGGUAGGCAGAAUGUCAUUGCACUUGACCUGGUCAUUUUCUUUUCAGGAAAACUCCCAUUCACAGUUUUACUCCCACAAGUUCAGAGGGAUCUACCCAACACUUGGCUGUAGCUGCUGGAUAUGUGACUGAGACAAUAGAGAUCAAGCGAAAUCACUUAGUAAAGGAGAUGUUAUUUGGUCUGAGUCCUGUGCCAGCCCUUACUGCUUUUGUACAUUGCCUGUGUUGUGCGUGGAUACCAAAGGGUUAUUUGAAGGAAUAAGCCAUUUACCUGCAUCCUUUUUGGCAGUGCAUAACUCAAGAUCUCUGUGAAACUUACUGGAAAUGAUUAAAACACAGAUACACUCUCUAGGAAGAUGUCAUGUACUUUUUGAUGGAAAGCCAAGGCAGGUCAGAAUGGAUGCGCCGAAUAAUUUCUGUUUGGAUUUUAUCACCAUCAUCAUCAUUAUCACUAGUAUCAUUAUAAUCUCCACUUUUUGCUUCUUUCUUGAGUUUUAUAUAUUUUGAUUAUUUAAUCAAGGAGAAUGUUUUUACCCUGUCUUAAAGGCUUUUAGGCAGUCUAGUCCAUCAG
rnacentral:lncRNA from 1 species